rnacentral:rRNA from 1 species
CCUACGGGGGGCAGCAGUGGGGAAUAUUGGACAAUGGGCGAAAGCCUGAUCCAGCCAUGCCGCGUGUGUGAAGAAGGCCUUCGGGUUGUAAAGCACUUUCAGUGGGGAAGAAAGCCUUGGGGCUAAUACCCUCGAGGAAGGACAUCACCCACAGAAGAAGCACCGGCUAACUCCGUGCCACCAGCCGCGGUAAUACGGAGGGUGCGAGCGUUAAUCGGAAUUACUGGGCGUAAAGCGCGCGUAGGCGGUCUGAUAAGCCGGUUGUGAAAGCCCCGGGCUCAACCUGGGAACGGCAUCCGGAACUGUCAGGCUAGAGUGCAGGAGAGGAAGGUAGAAUUCCCGGUGUAGCGGUGAAAUGCGUAGAGAUCGGGAGGAAUACCAGUGGAGAAGGCGGCCUUCUGGACUGACACUGACGCUGAGGUGCGAAAGCGUGGGUAGCAAACAGGAUUAGAUACCCGUGUAGUC